ensembl:lncRNA
CGCGCGGACGGUUCGCCGCCGCCGCCGGGGAGCGCCGGAGACCCCCCCGGGCCGCUACUGCGUCACGUCCCCCCCGCUCCUCCGUGAGGACGUCGGCACCGGGCCGGAGUGCCGCUACCGGUGACGGAUAUCCCGGGUCCGUUGCCCGCUCGAAGCAGAAAGCAGCGACGCGGGAACUGGCGUGCGCUUGGUUUGCUCUCUCGAGUUGCAAAAUCCAGGGAAAUUGUGUUUUCGUGUGUAGCGGCCAGGGGACUUUCCCUUCCUAAGUGGCUGUUCAUAUUCCUUUGCUCGAGCCCCACAUGAACACAGAUUUCAGCACCAUCCAAUAAUAAUCUGAAAAUUGCCUUCAUGGGUGAAGAUUGCUUUGAGUGGCAUUACUGGAAGUUACCCAUAGCCCUGCCUUAAUCUGGUCUGGGAAGACUUCCUAAAAAAUCAUUUCCAUAUCCAGCCUAUCAGCUAGAGUAAGGAUAUGUAUCCAAAUGAUCAGAGUAAUUCUUGCCCAUGCCUGGUUUGGAUGAGGAGUACAUACAUGAGGACUUCAAGAUGGUAAGCUCUGCAAGGCAUCUGCACCAGCUGCCAUCUGAAUAGUCAACUGGAUAGGUGCUGCUAGCUGGAAUGGCCCUGGUCUGUCAGAGUGCUGGAAAUACAGGCCACGUGUGACCUUCGAGCAUGCUAGGAUGGAGAAAAUCCUUCAACAUUUGGAAAGCUGAUGUUCCCGAGUUGUACUGGAAGUUGUGGUUGGGCGGGGGCACCUGUUUAAUGCUGCAAGUUUCAUAAACAGAAAGAGAGGAGAGGAGAGGAGAGGAGAGGAGAGGAGAGGAGAGGAGAGGAGAGGAGAGGAGAGGAGAGGAGAGGAGAGGAGAGGAGAGGAGAGGAGAGGAGAGGAGAGGAGAGGAAGACUUUUUCAAGUUUCUGUAAAGUCUCAUAGAUUGCAGUGAGAAAUUCAUAAAUGAUACUGGAUGAUAUACAAUAGUUGAUGACAGGAUUUUUAGAAAUUCGGACGAAUUUAUUGCAUCAAAAAUAAGAAUUGUUCCCUGGACUGCUGCGUAUGUUAACAGUGUUGCCAUUCCUCUUGUCACUCUGGGAGACUCAGAUGUCUUUUUGCUUCUCAGGCUGAUGGUGCCUUUUACUGGGCAAAUGUGCUGGAGAAAGGAACUGGAUAACUGUUCCAAGUAACUGCAGAAUAAUAACAAGGACUUUGUUGGCAAAUUGAAGGUCAGGUGGAGGAGCCAUGCAGACACUGAUCAAUAUUUGCUGCAAGUGACAGAUGUUCACUAUGUCUUGCUCAAAAUCUAUGAGAGAAGGAGGAAGUGUCCAAACUGCUCAGGAAAACAGGAUGAGGGAUUUUGUUCUGCUCUUUCUUAAGCCAGAGAAUAUAGAGGUGAAAAAUGAAUGCGUUGUAGCCAAAUAACAGACAAGCAUCUUUAUUACUCUUUUUUGUUAAGAACUUUUGUUAUUAGGGGAAGGUGAGAACUUUGGGAUGCCUCUACCCAUUUUUUCAUGAUGACCUUUACUAACUCAGCUUAGCUCUGACAUGACACACCUUAAGUGCUGAGUACACUUAUCUUUGGAAAGGAAAGCAGAAAUCACUCCUGUUUUCUGGAAAGGACACGGAGAUCCUUGGGGACCUACAGGAAGUCACUGCUACUCGUAUUAACCUUGGUAUGCACUUGAGGUACUAGUAUGAAUAUAACAUCUAAAUAUUCUUCAGAGAUUUUUUUCCUUCUGCAUAAUUUCUAGCAAAUUUCCUUGUGUGUUGCUUUCCUUGUCCAAGCCUCCUCUGAAGCUAGAUACUUGCAUGUAAGUGAACACAAAUUGUCACAAGCAUCCUUCCAGUUCUUUUAGUGCCUUCUGGUUCCUGUGCUAAAAGCCAUUCAGAGGAACCAUGAACAUCUCCUUCCUAUUCUCUUUUUCUAUUUUGAAACAUUUUUUCAUGCCUCACGCAGCUUGCAGGGCUCAUGUUCGUCAUCAUUAUGGUGCCUCGAUUGCCAGAGACAAAUUGCAAAUAUUUGUCAUUUCUA